ensembl:snRNA U6 U6 spliceosomal RNA
GCGCUUGCUUUGGCAGCACAUAUACUAAAAUUGGAACGAUACAGAGAAGAUUAGCAUGGCCCCUGCACAAGGAUGACACGCAAAGUUGUGAAGCGCUCCACAUUUUU